AGAACAAAGAAAAAAAAAAGACAAUUAUGAACCAAUAGUUAAAAGAAAAACACAAAAGAACCCUCAACCAUGGGAUUCCAAUCGGUAGUUGCUCAACAAAAUCAUUAACAAUAUUGAAUAGAGAGCAACCAAAACAAGAAAUGGAGUCUUCAAAAAUCAAAUCCUCACAACCCUUCAAAGAGAACCAACAGCUCUAUGGAGGUUCAUGAAGACGGCAAUCUUCUGCAGCUGCUGCUUCUACCAAUGCUGGAGCUUUUUUGACCCAAUAACUAUACUCACCUCGACUUAAUCCCUCUUACGCCAUUGCAUGCUGUUUUAUUACCAGAUCGGCCAAUGAAGUGGAAGGCGCAGGCAUAGAACUCCUUCGCUAUCUAAUUUGCGGAACAGAAAACCCAACUCUUUAGCAAUCGGAGCUCGUGUAUCACCGCAAUUGCAUAGGGUGGCAGAGACCACCGAACUUGAAUGUUGGAGACUACACCAUUAUUCGUAUGGAUCACAGAGACCAACUUCACACAAUAGCUGCGAAUGAAGCCAACAAUCUCACCCACACUCUGGUUUGUUCCCUCAUGCACCAUACGAUUUCGGGCAAACCAUAUAGCCCACAUUGUAACACAAAUUUCAUUAUGUUUUGUUAUAUGAUGCAUUUUCAGUAUCCAUGAAAGCUACUAAUGGAAAUCCAUUUGAGUACUAA